AAGAGGAUAUAAACUACGUUUCAUAAGUGCUCAAAGAGGAUAUAAACUACGUUACAUAAGUGCUAACGAAGACGGUCACUGUUUGAAACUAUUACUAUUAGGACUCUUCGUUGCUUAAAAUUUCUUUAGAUACUGAUAAGUUAGAAUGAGCUGUUCCGCCAUAUAUUGCACUUCCAGGACGACAAAGGGAGGUCGUAAAAACCAGGAAGUGUCAUUUCAUUUAUUUCCGAAAUAUCCAGAGAUAAGAGCCGAAUGGUUAAAAGCUGUCAGACGUGAUAAUUGGCAGCCAACAAAAUUCUCGAGGCUCUGUUCAAAGCACUUUGAUGAAUCUUGUUUUGUCGAGGGAUUGUCAAUUAAAAAAUUAAAACCUGAUGCAGUACCAACAAUUUUUGAAGGUUAUUCGACAUAUUAUCAAUUGGCAGUGCCGAAAAGAAAACCAAGUAAGCGCAUAACUGAAAUUGAAUUUUCUUCAAGAAAGCGCAAAAGGAUGCUAGAAAGUGGUCUCGACCCAAGAUAUUGUAAUUUUUAUUCAUUUAAACUUGUAUCAAAAUUGGCAAGAGCAAAAAAAAUUGCUUUAAAACGACUAAAGCAAAUAAAAAAAUUAAGAGAAGCUAAUCGUAGGCUUAUAAAAAAGAAGGCAAGCUUGCUUAAUAUUAUAAGUGAUUUAAAAAAAAAUAAGAAUCACCUCAAUACAGAAGAUAAAGUCUUGAUCUUUUAUGUAUCAUAAGGACUGGAAGUAAGGACCUACUUAUAAGAUUGACAUGAAAAAGCAACAAUAAAUCUGUGGUUAUUGCUA